UACGUAGGGUGCGAGCGUUGUCCGGAAUUAUUGGGCGUAAAGAGCUCGUAGGCGGUGUGUCGCGUCGAUCGUGAAAACUUGGGGCUUAACCCUGAGCUUGCGGUCGAUACAGGCAUCACUUGAGUUCGGCAGGGGAGACUGGAAUUCCUGGUGUAGCGGUGAAAUGCGCAGAUAUCAGGAGGAACACCGGUGGCGAAGGCGGGUCUCUGGGCCGAUACUGACGCUGAGGAGCGAAAGCGUGGGGAGCGAACAGG
rnacentral:rRNA from 1 species